rnacentral:tRNA from 1 species
UAGCUUAGUGGUAGAGUGCUUGCCUAGCAAGCAUGAAGCCUGGGUUCGAUUCCUCAG